AGAGGCAGAGGCUUACAUGGAAUACAGUGAUAAAGUUGCCUGUAGAGUCACAUGAAAGAGGGGACUCCCAUUGUUAGUUGCAGCUGAGAAUGAGGUCUUCUUUGAUCACAAAGCCAGGUGGGAGGAAUAUAUCCUAACCUGUUUCACAGCAGCAGAGUCUUUCUUCUCUGCUGUCACCUUCAGGACAGGUUCAGCUGCAUCUAGCACUUGGGGUUGUGGCACAGGAGAAGGACCACAGUGCGGUGCUGUGCAAAUGUCUGAGAUAAAGACUGGGCCACAGCUUAUCAAGAGGAAAGGGACAGCAGAGCCCUCUGUUCCAGUACUGCGUGCUUAUUUUCUUACAGGAGUUGCUGCAUUCACCAUCCCCAAUUCUCCAGCCUCUUUUGUGAAAACCCAGUUGAAAUCAUGCUGCCCUGACUGGAGGGUAUCGCACCUUCCGACAAAACAUCAUAAGGAGCAAAGAACUACUAUUUCUCAGUGAUCCAGCCCAUAAAUCAAUCCUCAAAUUUCUUUGCAAGGAUGGUAUGAGAUUCCACGAGUGUUCUCUGCUUUCGUAUUCUAAAGACAGGCUGUGUCCUCAGAAAAAAAAAGAAAGGAAAAAAAAAAAGAACCAGGACUGGCUAAAUCAUUUCAGGGCCUGACUGAUCUUAUCAGGACCUCCCUUGCUGCAACGAUAAUUUGAGACUGUCAGAAAUUGCCACCUUUAUCUGAUGGGUGGUCCCACCAACUGCUCUGUUAUCAGAGCCCAGCUGCACAAGGAAAACAGGAUGUGGCAUGACCUUGGUAUCCCAGCACCUGACAUCAGUAUCUAAUCUGUCAGAUGUCUCACUGAAGCUGUCUUGAGAUGCUGUACAUGCCCCCUCUGGCACCAAGUCAUUCAAAAGACGUUUGCUUCACACUUGUGUUAGCCCACCAGCGCACACAGAGUACGUCCUGGUGCAUCACUGCCCUGCCUGCUAGUGUAGUGACACUUGAGUUUUAAGGUGUUUUUCUGCAAAGCUUUGUCAGCCUUUCUCCUGGAAAGCUUGCUUUGCAGGACUGUAACCCAGCUAGCAACAAUUCAGCAUCCAAAUUU